CACUGGGAUAGAUCAGUCAGCAGAACAUGUGACUCUUUAUCUCAGGGCUGUGGGUUUGAGUCCCACAUUGGGUGA